rnacentral:sRNA from 1 species
CAGUUGCUGCUGCUGCUGCUACAGCUGCUGCUGCAGCAGCAGCAGCAGCUGCAGCAGCAGCUGCAGCUGCAGCAGCAGCUGUAGCAGCAGCUGCAGCAGCAGCUGUAGCAGCAGCUGCAGCAGCAGCUGCAGCAGCAGCUGCAGCAGCAGCUGCAGCUGCAGCUGUAGCAGCAGCUGCAGCAGCAGCUGCAGCAGCAGCUGUAGCAGCAGCUGCAGCAGCAGCUGCAGCAGCAGCAGCAGCAGCAGCACUAGGCU